rnacentral:tRNA from 1 species
AACCUCGUAGCUCAGUUGGUAGAGCAUUGGACUAGUAUCCCAAAGGUCGCGGGUUCGAUUCCCACCGUGGUCA